rnacentral:tRNA from 2 species
CCACUGGUAGCUCAGUUUGGUAGAGCAAUCUCCUCAUAAGAGAUCUGUCGCGGGUUCGAAUCCCGUCCAUUGAU